rnacentral:lncRNA from 1 species
AUGCUAUGGAGAUUGCUAGAACUGCACACAGAUGAUGGAGUUAUGCUGCGAAGGGCCCUUGCUGUGCUGCUGUGCCUGGAAGGGGCCCAGCAUGAGUCUGGCCAAGAGCAGCACUCCACAGAUGUUGGCCAGAGAGAGGCAGACACACGCCCAGUGAAGCACACACCUCAGUCAUCCUGUGCACACAUGGAAGCAACACACUCAUGCACAUGGAGGAUCCCGAGGGCCAGUCGCUGUGGUAGGCACGCCGUCAGCUGGGUGUUUCCGGUUCCUGGGCCCUGGAGCACCCUAUGA